UAGCUCUGUGGGUGAGGUUCACCUGGGGAUAAAGCGUGGAUCUGAUGUAUUAACAUGAAAAGAACACGUGCGUGGAAGCAGGGUUGACUACAUCGGGGAGACAGAUCAGAUUCCUCUGCAGCAUACGGCUUUAUGCUGCUCAUCAGAGGAGUUUGGAGUUUGUAGGAGAUUUGGGAUUAUCCGUCUGCUGGAAGCAAGUUCACCCAAUCUGUGCAGAAGACGGAGCUAUGAUGGGAGUUUUCUGGUUGUUGAUAAUCCUACUUUGCUGCACAUCACCCAACAGAUGUGAUGUUUUAUCUCCAGAGCAACCAUGGGACAUUCACUGCAGAACAGCAGAAAAGACUAAUUCUUUGUCUGUGCCGUGCCCUAAGAUCAAGCCUGAAAACCUCAUCAUGGACCACAAAACAGACAUUACUAUCACUCUUUACAGAAACCGGAUAGAAAUUUAUAAAAUAUGCACAGAGCCUUCCAAAAAAAACCAAACCAUAAAGCAGCACGGUGUCACCCCACAGAAAGAACAUGGUAAAUUUACAGGUUUCAUCAUUAAAUUAGAAGGUAACAUAGAGCAAGCAGUCUACACAUGCCAGGUUGAGAAGUCUUACCCUCCUCCUUUCGUGACCAGUGAAGGCAAAUUAGUCGUGGUCCUUGAUGAAGGUAAAUAUAUCAAAAAUUUAAGGUGAAACCCAUCUUGAUAUUUAAUGUGCAAACAGGAAUAACUAAAAAUAAUAUCUUUAACAUGUGCUUUUCUCGGGACAAGGAUGUGCAAACAAAACAGGAACAUGUAAGAAAGACGACUCAGAGCCACGAACACCACAGAGACCCAUAUGGAUCUGGAUCCUGGUUGUUGCACUUCUUUGCACCUACAGCCUGGCGGUGACCAUCGCUGCCUUGGUUAUCUGGCACAAAAUGCAGGAUGCAGAUUCCCAGAAUGACUACAUCAACACCAAACCCAAAGCACCUCCAAACCGCAGGAAGAAAAGAGGAAUCCAGCAUCCUAUACCAAAACACUUCUGAUGAUUCGGACGUCACUGGAUUAUUUUCCUAGCUUCUCCCUCAACACACUGACUGUGUCUAGAGCUUAAAAUAAGUAUAACAUUGUUGUAAUUGGGGUGUUUAAUCUGUCUAUUUCGUUUAAAGAGACUUUUAUUUGUGUAUCAACACUUUGUUUAAGUGGGUGUCUGAGAAAUUGUGUGUAUUUUAGAAACAAGGGCAGAUUUUUUUUUUGACUUCCUGUUUCACUCGCUGUAACGAGUCAUGCGAAGUCAGGAACCCCCUCAUCUUUGUGGUCAAAACAGAAGGUGGUGCCUUCAUGAGGGGAUUUAACCACAUUUAAAGAGCCUUUUUUUCAGUUUGUAAAUCAGUGCAACACCUUGUGGAUCAAGAAUGACCACAAACUACAAAAAGAUAAAUACAGUUUUGCAAGCCGCAACACCUUUCUGGGUUCUUUUCAGAGAAACUACAUUGAGAUUAUACAGAGGUUGAUGAUGAGCAGAAACACAUUGAGCUGCAAGCAGAUUGAAAAUAACAAGUUGCACCAUUUCCUGCCCUCCUUUUAUCAUUUCGUUAUGGGUAUGGGUUUUCUGCAGAGGUCGCGGCUUCAAAGCGCUCCACCUUUACCGUGCUCACCUUGCACUUUCUGUGCAAGCGCUCACGCUGCUUUUAUUGGUUUCAUUUAGUAGCAGGUUUUUCAUAACCACCGCAAGUUCUGACAAAAUUAGCCUAGUGUUUCUGUGAAGCCUUUAAGCUGCCGGGGAAGGCAGGCAGAUGACUAAAACAUAUUGAAAUCACUUGUCAUUUGAUAGUCAUCACUCCAUUUUUCCAUAAUGACUAAAAAAACAACAGCACAAGAAAAGAUCAGCUCAGGUAAUUGCUGUGAUGCUUUUUUUUUAAAGCGACAUAACAUCCUAUAAAUAGCCCAAAAUCAAUUAUUUAUCUUAAAACAAAAAAUCAUAUUUGAUCUUUUAGCUCUACCUAAAUGCAGAAAACAUUCAGAGCCUAUUGUUUUAAAAUACUUUAUUAUUGUUAUUAUGUACAGGUUUUCAACUGAACAAACUUUCAAUCUGCACACAUUCCUACGUGGCUUUUUGGUCUUGUUUACACCGUCUAAACUGUUCCGGAUCCGACAUGUUCCUCUUUUGUUUGUGGUUCUGAUGCAUGGUCUGGAAAUAGAAGUCCUCGUAUAACAUCUGUCCUCUCCUCCUCAGACAAUGGCUGUAGGUGCUGCUCUGUUACCUUCAGGGAAAGAGAAAACAUGCAAAAUAUGCUUCAACUGAUUUAAACAGACUUUGCAACACAGGCGGCUACAUAAACCUGGGUGUUUUUUAUCAAUGUCACACUCUAUGCGGAUGAUAACAGAUACUUUCUGAAGGUUUCAACUCUCUAAAACAACCUGAAUUCACAAUAAAGGCCAUCACAUCUAUAGCAAAGGCUAAUUGAUAAAUGUUAUUUGGUAACUUCAGUUGCUACCAAGAGAAAACAGGAAGAGAUUUAUCAGUAAAAUCAAACAUAAGUCUCACCAAAACAGGAGUGUAUCCCAGGAUCUUCAGAUGACGGAUCUUGAGAGUGAGUGGGCCACGAGGGUGGGAAGUACCGUAGCAAAAAGUAGAGUUCGGUGCAUAAAUAACGGCAAUUCUAGAAUAAAAAAUAAAAAAAAA